rnacentral:rRNA from 1 species
UGCGCAGGCGGAAUGAUAAGUCAGUGGUGAAAUCCUACAGCUUAACUGUAGAACUGCCAUUGAUACUGUUGUUCUUGAGUACAUUUGUAGUGGGCGGAAUGUGUCAUGUAGCGGUGAAAUGCUUAGAGAUGACACAGAACACCGAUCGCGAAGGCAGCUCACUAAACUGUAACUGACGCGGAGGCACGAAAGCGUGGGGAUCAAACAGGAUUAGAUACCCUGGUAGUCC